rnacentral:rRNA from 1 species
AAUCCUGAAUUCGAAAGGGACCGGAUUCACGUCCGCCCGGCCGUCCAGGCCGCCUGGCCCCGCCAGAUGGCGCCGGUCGCCCGCGGUGCGAUUCGCUUCGCCCGCGGAGCCGUGCCGGCCCGCCACUCGGCUAGGGGUGGCGUUGCUCUGGCGCCGGAGGACUGCACUUCCUCCCUCGUAGAAACGUCGCGACCCGUUGGGUGCCGGCCUCAAGGCCCGGGAAGGCAGCCCGCUCGUACCCGUGGGGGAUCCUGCGGGUGCGGCGGACUCCCGGAGACCUGGCCGGCCGCCCGACGGUAGGACCAGAGGAGCCGAUCCGCCAAAAGCAAAGCACUGUGGUUUUAUGUGAGGCGUCCGGCCCGGCGCCGACACGCGCGGGGGUGGUUCUCUCGGCGCGGGUGCCCGUGCGCAGCACGGCCCCGGCCCCGCUGCGUCGUCGGGAUUUUGCUCACGCCGGAGCCCUUGGACCUGGAUCGCUGGCACUCCUGUCUGCGACGCCCUCCUUCGGAUGGUCUCCCGC